AUUGAACGCUGGCGGCAGGCUUAACACAUGCAAGUCGAGCGGAGAGAGGUAGCUUGCUACUGAUCUUAGCGGCGGACGGGUGAGUAAUGCUUAGGAAUCUACCUAUUAGUGGGGGACAACAUUUCGAAAGGAAUGCUAAUACCGCAUACGUCCUACGGGAGAAAGCAGGGGAUCUUCGGACCUUGCUCUAAUAGAUGAGCCUAAGUCGGAUUAGCUAGUUGGUGGGGUAAAGGCCUACCAAGGCGACGAUCUGUAGCGGGUCUGAGAGGAUGAUCCGCCACACUGGGACUGAGACACGGCCCAGACUCCUACGGGAGGCAGCAGUGGGGAAUAUUGGACAAUGGGCGCAAGCCUGAUCCAGCCAUGCCGCGUGUGUGAAGAAGGCCUUAUGGUUGUAAAGCACUUUAAGCGAGGAGGAGGCUACUUUAGUUAAUACCUAGAGAUAGUGGACGUUACUCGCAGAAUAAGCACCGGCUAACUCUGUGCCAGCCGCCGCCGUAAUAC
rnacentral:rRNA from 1 species